rnacentral:misc_RNA from 1 species
GAAGUGCGAUAAGUAGUGUGAAUUGCAGAAUUUAGCGAAUCAUCGAAUCUUUGAACGCACAUUGCGCCCCUUGGUAUUCCAUGGGGCAUGCCUGUUCGAGCGUCAUUUCAACCCUCAAGCACUGCUUGGUGUUGGGCGUUUGUCCCGCCUACGCGCGUGGACUCGCCUCAAAGUCAUUGGCAGCUGUUCCCCUUCGGCUCGUAAGCGCAGCACAGUCGGCGCCCGGAGCUCUGGUGGGAUGGCGUCCAGCAAGCUAUAUUUUCAGGCUUGACCUCGGAUCAGGUAGGGAUACCCGCUGAACUUAAGC